rnacentral:lncRNA from 1 species
CUGUAGGCAGGUGGAGAGGGGAUGGGGGAGGUCUCAGGUCCUCUUGCUCACCCAUCAGCUGUGUAGUGUCUGAAGUGAUUAAGGAGCUUGGGGAGGCCUCCCAGGCUGGUCUGCUCCACUGGCCCUCAGAAAGACUUGUCGCCUCGCCGAGCCUCAGUGUUCUCAUCUGAAGAAUAGAGUGGGCAAGGCCUUUCUCCUACACACUCAGAGCCCUGAAUGGGAAGAAAUGGGUUCCAUGUGCAGCAAGCCAGGAGAGAUUUAGGCAACGAGAACCUCCAGUUCUGUCUUAGGGUUCCCAGCUUUCUCCUUGUCCUGAGGGAGCCGCUGAGCCUGUGGGAGAUGAGGGGUGCCCAUUCCCCAGUGCUUCUCACCCUCCCCCACCUGCCCUCCUGGGGUACCUUUGUCUGCCACUUGCAUCCUAUUGGAAGCUGUCCCCAAGUGCGUGUUAGGCAGGUGGCAGGUGCUGGAGCAGAGUGCACCACCCUCCGGCGAUCACUGUGAGUUGGGGUAAGAGUGGGGUGUUCCUGCCAGCCCCAGGAGAGGGGAAAGCAAGCCCCCGUCCACCCUUGUGGGUCUCUGCUCCUGGAAAAGGUGCUCUAGCAGGCUCAUCUGUGUGAGUCACUGUCUUCCAUGUGGGCCCCUGCCCAUCUGAGCAGCAGAGUUCAUCCCAUACCCUGCAGGGAGUCCAGCGCCACCAUGAUGUCCCUCUCUUCCCUCCUUGAGGCUGGCUGGGUCCAGCCUGAGCUGUGCCACCUGCUGGCUCAGGCCAGUGGGAUUGUGCCUCAGGCAGGCUCCUGCCCUUCCAAGCCAAGGGCUUGGCUGCAGACCCGACAGCGGCUCCCAGAGGGUUUCAUUCUGUCACCAAGGCUGGAGUGCAGUGGCGUGAUCUUGGUUCACUGCAACCUCUCCCUCCCGGACUCAAGCCAUCCCCCUGCCUCUGUCUCCUGAGUAGCUGGAAUUAUAGAUGUACACCACCACACCUGACUAGUUUUUUAAUUUUUUGUGAAGACGGAGUUUUGCAGUGUUGCCUGGGCUGGUCUCAACUCCUGGGCUCAAGAAAUCCACCUGCCUCUGCCUCCCAAAGUGCUGGGAUUACAGAUAAUGCUGGAAGCCAAGCUUGCACAUUCUAGGCAGCCAUUUGGAAGAUUCUUCUCUGCGCAUGACCAGCUGAAAAGGAAAAACCCCGAAACAUUGGCACUGUGAUUUCUCCAUGUGAACAGUUUAGUUCGCCGAGGUGGACAUGCCUCAUUCAUGCUUAUGGAGUGACCGACCAGCCUUUAGUGACACCCCCUGAAAUGUGAGUCAUCCAUGGGUCACUAGUCAUUGGAGAAGAGCCCCUUAUACAAAACUUGGAGCUCAGACCACAAACAACAACAACAAUCCAAAAAAUAAAAAAAUGAAAAAUUAGGAGCAGAGACUAAAUGGAAAGAUGGAAAUAUUAAAAUAAAAAUAUUAUUUUAAAAAUUAA